rnacentral:rRNA from 1 species
GACGAACGCUGGCGGCGUGCUUAACACAUGCAAGUCGAACGGAAAGGCCCUGCUUGCAGGGUACUCGAGUGGCGAACGGGUGAGUAACACGUGGGUGAUCUGCCCUGCACUUCGGGAUAAGCCUGGGAAACUGGGUCUAAUACCGGAUAGGAGCCAUUUUUAGUGUGAUGGUUGGAAAGUUUUUUCGGUGUAGGAUGAGCUCGCGGCCUAUCAGCUUGUUGGUGGGGUAAUGGCCUACCAAGGCGGCGACGGGUAGCCGGCCUGAGAGGGUGGACGGCCACAUUGGGACUGGGAUACGGCCCAGACUCCUACGGGAGGCAGCAGUGGGGAAUAUUGCAAAAUGGGCGCAAGCCUGAUGCAGCGACGCCGCGUGGGGGAUGACGGCCUUCGGGUUGUAAACUCCUUUCGCUAGGGACGAAGCUUUUUGUGACGGUACCUAGAUAAGAAGCACCGGCUAACUACGUG